AUAGUAUAGUGGCGAGUAUCUCCGCCUAUCGCGUGGAAGGACCGGGUUCGAUUCCCGGU
rnacentral:tRNA from 1 species